GGUUGUGCCUACAAGAUGAUGGAGACUGGGCUGUGGUGUUGCAGAAUUUCAGAAAAUGCCCUCUCAAGGCAUACAUACAAAGAAGGCAGAAGAAGUCACUAGGACAAGUCAGCAAUUCUGCAGCAUUUGAUGCAGGUUGUAGUGACUCCACGAGAACCCCAUAGUGACAUCCAUCAAUGAAUUGACCAAGACCAAGUUUACCAUCACCACCUGAGUAUCCACUCUUGGCUGUACCACAGCAGCCAACCACCCCAGUCCCCUACCACUGCUCCUCCGACUGAUGCACUCAGGACCAGGCCUGGGAGUCAAUACAGCCAGCCAGCUGGUGCUGACCAAGGCCCAGCUCCAUGCCCAGCACCAGGCAAGGGACAAAAGGACAUGGAUGAACAAUGCUAGACAUACUUUCUAUCCACAAACUUGUUGGGAAGAAGAGAGAACUAGUAGAAGAUAAGACAAUAAAAAACAUCCUGUGUGACAUGGUAAAAAUGAUGACAACAAUGAUGAUGGUGAUGACAUAAGGAUCGGGCAGGAUCUCCAAGUUAACUACUUUUUUCAUCUGUGACCUCUCUUCCAAGUUUCUUGACAUUGGUUGGCUAGAGGAAAAUGAACUUUUAAUCUGGUUUAACAUCUAUUCUGCUCUAAUAAGUUUGGUAGUCCCUUUAGGUAAGAUUCAGUUGUGUAUGCUCAUUUUCCAAAAUGUUAAAAUCUUAGAAAACAUUUGUCCUGUCCAUUUAGCUGGUUUUGUGUAGCUCUGAGCAAAUCUUGUUCCAUCUAUGACAUUUGAUGAUAUUACUGUCUCCCUAAAGAGUAGAUUUAUUUCUACCUAGCAGCAAUUCCCAUAAAGAUAAUAAACAGUGAUGUGCUCAUGAA
ensembl:lncRNA